rnacentral:rRNA from 1 species
UACGUAGGGGGGCUAGCGUUGUCCGGAAUCAUUGGGCGUAAAGCGCGCGUAGGCGGCCCGGUAAGUCCGCUGUAAAAGUCAAAGGCUCAACCUUUGAAUGUCAGUGGAUACUGCCGGGCUAGAGUCCGGAAGAGGCGAGUGGAACUCCUGGUGUAGCGGUGGAAUGCGCAGAUAUCAGGAAGAACACCAACGGCGAAGGCAGCUCGCUGGGACGGUACUGACGCUGAGGCGCGAAAGCGUGGGUAGCAAACAGG